UUGUACCGAUCAACAAAACAACAAUUACAAUUAGGAUUAUUGAGCUAUCUUUUUUACAAGCAAUUAGCCCAAUUGCUAAUUUAUCAAAUUAAGUUUUAUUUUGGGCUUUAGGGCUUUAGACAAUUGAACUAUUAUACAAUAAUUGAACAAAACAUUUGGCUCAUUAUUAUUAUUUUUUUCGUUUGGUAAUUCCCGAAAGAGUGACAAUAUUUUUUUUAUGUAGUUGCACAAUUUUUUUAGUAGUUGCACGAUUUUUUUUACGUAGUGGCACAAUAGGUAAAAAUUUUAAAAAAAGAAAAUUCUACAUCGUGCGCGGAAGCUAGGUGUUGUCGGUGCCACACCGGGCACCGACCUAGGACCGCCCCUGAACCUAUAUAGUUUUUAAGAAACCCAUAUAUGACCUAAACAGGUUGACGGAUUGGCGGGUUGACAGAUUGAAGAACUCAACGCAAACAAGUUUAUUUCUGCAGUGUCGGGAGACCUAAAGUUAUAUAUAUGCAUCACAAAAAUUUCACAAGGAUUUUUUACAUGGCUUCACAUGGAUAACCAACGUGUUUCCUUUGGCUCAUUGAUUUGAUAAUAGAUCCGAUGGCUGAAACAGACUCCAAAAAGACCUGAUCAAUCUUCAUCCACACUUUUCUCGAUCGAAUGCCUUUCUCCCUUCAGCCUCACCAUCUACUAGUGUCGUCUCCAACAUCCAUCAUCAGAACCAGAUCUAGCUUAGUCUAUUCACCAACACCACACUUUCCGUUGACCCUAACACCACCACUUUCUCUACCAUAUUUUACAGCCAGCACCUCCUUCCCUCACCGCGAUCGACCUCAACCCAUCUCCUACAUCUGAUCACCUGCUACCCGCGCCACCACCUUCUUCGACCACCAAAAUUUGUUCCCUACCCUGCCUCACUAGCGACCAUCAUCAAGAUACGACCAUCUACAUAUUGUCUUGUGUGGAGGUCUUUGGAGACAAGAAAGAUAUGUAGGGGUAUUUAGUCAUUUGGACAAAAGAGCUUUGAAAUUGCAUAUUAUAUAUAAAUGUAACACUCUGAUACUAUAUACCUUAAAAUGAUUAUUUCUGUAUAUUUUUAGUCUUGAUUACUUCUAUUUCACCAUUGUCCUUUUACAAUUAUAAAGUUGGUAUUCUUUAAGCCUACUUGGCGUUUAUUCCA